UGCGUAGGCGGAAAAUUAAGUCAGUGGUGAAAUCCUGCAGCUCAACUGUAGAACUGUCAUUGAUACUGGUUUUCUUGAAUUUAGUUGAGGUAGGCGGAACGUGUAAUGUAGCGGUGAAAUGCUUAGAUAUUACACAGAACACCGAUUGCGAAGGCAGCUUACUAAGCUAACAUUGACGCUGAGGCACGAAAGCGUGGGGAGCGAACAGGAUUAGAUACCCUGGUAGUCC
rnacentral:rRNA from 1 species